CCAAGUAAGAAGUGUAGAACAAUUAGCUCAUAAGGACCGCCAUUGUAUAACCAUUCAUCAACAGAUGCAGCUUCCCAAAUUGGGUAAAAAUGCAAUCCGAUCGCCGCAGAAGUAGGAAUAAUAGCACCAGAGAUAAUAUUGUUUCCAUAAAGUAAAGAACCAGAAACAGGCUCACGAAUACCAUCAAUAUCUACUGGAGGAGCAGCGAUGAAGGCGAUAAUAUAUACGGAAGUUGUGGUCAAUAAGGUAGGGAUCAUCAAAACACCAAACCAUCCAAUGUAAAGACGGUUUUCGGUGCUAGUUAUCUAGUUGCAGAAGCGACCCCACAGGCUUGUACUUUCGCGUCUCUCUAAAAUUGCAGUCAUGGUAAGGUCUUGGUUUAUUCAAAUUGCAAGGACUGGGCUGAGAACAGGGCCUUCAUGACUCUCAUGCUUUAGCAUACCGGUGUUCCAAUUCCCCUAGUUCAAUCAGCACCGCCUCCACCUCUUCAGGCUAUUGUUGUGCCAGCCAUUCAGGCAGGACCUCCUCUUCCUACAGUUGGUCCUUCUUCCUCUCCGCUCCGACCAAUCACCCUGGUUUUCUCGUCGUCGGUCAUCAGCUUCGUCAGCACUCAGCCGCCAGUGCCCCCAGCUCCUGCUGUUACCACUACUGUUGUGGCGGUAUCUGUGACCUCUUCAGCUCCGGCAGCUCCUGCAGCAUAGCCUCCGUCCGAGUCAGUACCAGCUCCAGCUUCUAUGGCAGAUCCUGGAUCUGAGACUGACUCUGACCCGCAGCUGGCAUUCGCUCUUCUGCCACGACCACGACCGGAUGCGCCCCCGCCACCUCCUUCCUCUUCUGGUGUGUAGGUUUGAGUUCCCUUUUGGUGUUUGACGCCAAAGGGGGAGAGAUAUGUGAGUUGUGAGAGCUAGGGGAGUUAGGGAGUUAGUAGAGAGUCAUUUUGAUUUAAUAUAUGUGCUCGUUACUCUCUGUACUAGCUCCACUUUUGUAUGAUGAUUUUGGCUCACAAACUCUAUUAUAUACUCUCAAUGCUUAGGUUGACUACGUGUGCAUUAUGUUUUCACAUUAUAUGUUAUCACCAGUCUUCUAGUUCUUGUUCAUCGAUUUGAUUUCACUUUUAUAUGAACAAAACUUACGAUGUGUAUGCGCUCAUUCCUAUUACUAUGUUACACACUCUUUCUGUCAAAGACUAUUGAGUACAACUAACCAUCUUUUCUAUUGACAGAAAUUUCAAAAACAAACUACUCUCACAAACCUUGUAGGGUUAUCAUCAAUCACCAAAAAGAGGGAGAUUGAAAGCAUCUAGGCCCCUCACUACAGGAAACGCAUAAAUUUUCAUGGGCCAAAAACCCACGAAAAUAAGGGUAAACCGACGAAAAAAGUCUAUUUUUGUCGGCAUGCCGACGAAAAUAGCCGCCGAAAAUAAAUUCGACGAAAAUGCACAACUAGGCUUAAGCCAGCUUCGAGCUUCGGAAACCCCAUGCUUCUAGACAUCUCCCGGCAGACGGACAAUUCUUUAUUGUCUGGGAGGCAGUAUAGGAAAUCCUCUUCGUCCGUCCCAUUGAAUACUAGUGCCCCCUUCGGAUAUUUUAAUUCUUUGGCAUAGUGGUUAGCUUCAAAAACUUCUUCUUCCGAUAACUUUUUCCCUGAAGCAUGACGCACAAUAUAAUCGUAUAUUUUGGAAGAUGCUUCGGGGACAGCAGUAUCAAUUUCUUCGACCAAAAUAGGCUCUAACAUUUUUAUUUCUUUAGUCGCCUUUUCAAUUCUUGCUUCUUCUGCUUCCAAAGGUAUUACCUUGGUUGGUUCUGAAGGCUCAGUUUCAACUACAGUCUGUUGCUUUGGAGCCUUAGCAACGGAUACUUCCACAGGCGCCUCUGAAGUUUCAGCAGUCUUCUUUGGAGUUGUGCUUGGAAGUUUAAUUGUCUCCAAAACAUCCAACACAUUGACCAUUCUUUUUUCUUUUUGGGGUCACUGUUGGCCCCUUUUUUCUUGCUACUUCAAUUUCUACUGAAGGACUUAAAAUUUCUGAUAUUUUUGCUCCCUCAGUUGAUGCUUUUGCUUCUUCCAUCUUUUCUGUCGAUGGUGCUUCACCAUCUCUUUGGUUUCUGGUAACAGAAUCUUUGGUUCAUCCAAUUCCUUUGUUGUUGGCGCUUCGGCCAUUCCUGCGACUUCUGGCAGCAGGGUUGGCUCUUCAGCCUCGGUGGCCGGAGAAGUCUCUCCGGUGAAUUCAGGCACCGUGGCUGGUUCAAUAUAGCAUGGCCGAUGUGUGAGAACUUUUAUCCUCUUUCUCUUCGGUGCUGGCUCACUAGGAGCAGCUGCAGCUUUUUCUUUCGCAGAAGUUGUGCCUUUUCUUUUUUGCCCUCGUAUUGGAUAGCGAUAGUCGGGGUAGACGAACCCGAUUGCAUCAAAUACCCGGUUGAGUCUUUUCCUUUUUCGGCCUCCGAAGGCCGCUUACAAAGCAGUAUCUUCGGCCUUCGAGUAUGCCCCAAGCAAUUCAUCACUUACAGUCUCAAUGCUCUUUAACCAAUCAUCAUCUGGUUCAACGAAUUUGUCUCCAUACUUGAAUGUGUACCUUAGCCGGACUAGCCAACCUUCGUCAGUUUCUUUAAUAGUUUCUUUCGGCAUUUCCCAAUUAUCCGCAAGAGGCCACACUCUGAAGGCAAUAUGUUCUUGUGUUAAAUCCCUCGUCCCAAUAAAAGAGCAAACAACUCCGAAGGCUCUCUGGCAUUCUUCGGCUGCUUCAUUCAUUUCCACCUUCGGCCUUCGCAGGCUGAAGCGUUGCCAGAUGGGAUGCAUAAUGAUCUUCUUUACAUCUUCUCGAGAUUUCAAGUCAUUUUUCACGUAAAACCAUUCCGUCAUCCAGUCGCCAGGCCACCUCUUGCGAAAGGUCGGCACUGGGCAGCUUGACCCAGAACGAGAGCCGAAGCUAUAACAGCCAAAGUUGUUGUGAUAUUGUUCCUUACCCCAGGGUUUUGUCUCGUAUAACAAUUCGUGUAUAUUGUAGAAGCUCUUUGCAUCAGGUUCCAAGCCUUGGCUCCUCACAGCCCACACGAAAAUAUUCAUCCUUAUGAUCGCUUCGGGGAUAAGUUGGUGAAGGUGGAUUUCAAAUAUCUUCAGCACCUCCACAACAAAACGGCUCAGGGGAAAUCGUAGUCCAGCUUUCAAGAAGCUUCGAAAUACUACAACUUCAUUUUCCUCAGGAGUUGGGCAAGUCUUCUCUCCCUCGUCGGCCCUUACAAUAGACAAAUCCCGGAAAUAUCUUCCCCUCAUGUUGGCAAGAUGACUUUCUUUAAUACUUGAUUUGCCGAAAACCGCAUGGCUUCGUCGCCAAGGUCGAUCUUCGGAGUCUUCGCCACCACUAUCCGCAUCAUAGCUGUCGCUAUCACCAGUAUCUUCAGAUAAACCUUCCAAAAUUUCUUUAGUGAUCUUCUCUGUAUUAGUCUUCGACAUAGAUUGAAGAAAACCCAGAUGCAUCUCUUCAGAAAGACUCAGCUUCAUUUCGGCAACAACCUUCUUCUCCUCAGACAUCUCUUCGGAAUUCUUGCCUCUCGCUUCCGAAGCUUAAUACUAGGGAGGCAACAAAAUAUUUGUGGCCAGAAAAUUAUUUGAGCAGGCAAAACAGAUGGCAAGGGAGCGUGCCGAAUAAAUUGUGGCGAGCCCGUAUUUACAAACCCAUUAUGUCGGAGACUGGAGGGCCCCAUUUGCCAAUGACUGUUGCUAUUCUAGCAAAAGGAAGGUGUUUUUUCGGACCUUCGGCUUAUAGCCUUCGUCCAUUUCGCAAUCUGAAUUCAUCAUUCUGACAAAUUAAUAUUGCGAGGGGCUACUGUUGGGGGCCUUCGGCUUCCGAAGGUCCUCAAAAACAUGUUUUAACAAUGUUUCUGGAGUAAAGUAUGUUAACAGGUACCUUCGGAUUCGGAUCAGAGCCACGGUACGAAGAAGCACAAAGGUUGGCGCAGAGCCGAAGCUGUGUGUAGAAGAGCUUCGGAGUAGCGGUGGAAAAGGAAACCGACUUAAAGAUGAAAAACCAGAUUAGACCUCGAAGAGUUAUCAUAGAGUUAUUGAUAAAUGUAAAGGGCAUUAUUGUAAUUUUCCAUGGGCUGCGACCCGUGCCUAUAAAUAGGUGAACAGUAUCCCCGUACUGUUCACGCUGAUUCGACAUUGGCUUUGGCAUCACACUUGUGCUUCUACCUUCUUUACGAGCUGAAGGUACACUUAUAAUUUAAUAUUAUCUUUAUCUUUCCAUCAUAAUAAAAUGGAAAUGAUUCGACAACAUUAAACAACUGUUUAUGUUAUCUUCAUGUUUCAUAUGAUCCUUUCUUCAUUAUUAUAUUUUAUGCUGAUGAAGGUAUGUCCUUCAUAACCUUCGCCCGAAAAUCAUUAUAUCCUUAAGGAAAUAAUGCUUAGAAGGACGAAGGAUAUUAAUAUUUAACAUUUUGUGUUGCCUUGUUCUUGAUCCAUAGCAUUUGAGAACAAGUCACCAACAAAUACAGAAUUCACAAACCACAUCCACAAUCAAUACCAUAAUUGUUUCAAACCACAAUCACAUCCAUAAUAAAGUCCAUACAUAGUCCAUAGACAAACUCACUCAUGGCAAGUCUCACUCCUGCGGGCUGUGGGAGUUUUGGCCACUCCCUCCUCCGCCACCAGGAAGGUGGCCACUCCCUCCGGAACCAUGGACGAGGUAGUCUUGGACGUUGACAGCACCCUCCGAUCCCUGAGCAUGUGACACUGAACCCUGCAAUUCAUCAAUCAUUCAAAUAAGGUUGUGUUUUGCUAUCCAUAUACCUAUACAUUGCUAUGUUUGGUCACUAUUUGCAUAAAACUAAACAUGGAACGUCACCUGUGAUCCAUUGUGCUGAGGAGGCUGUGCAUGCAUCCAUGGGUAAUGUUGUGCUGGCCACCCCUGGGGUGGUGGCACCCACCCCGGCGGUGGCGGUGCCAUCCACGCUUGAAGUGGCUGAGAGCCCGGCAGUGGCUGGGAGACCGGUGGCACCCAUCCCGGGGUUGGCUGCGAUCCCUGGGGUGGUGGAGCCGUCCAAGUGCCUGGAGGUGCCUGCGUCCACCCAACACCGGUCCACAGUGGCUGCGACGCUGGAGCUAGCUGAGAUCCCUGGAGUGGUGGCGUAAAUGGCUGCAACUCUGGAGCUUGUCCUGGCCACUGUCCCCAUCCUUGUGCCUGCGAGCCAUUUUUUAUAAUAAAAAAGAGUUGCUAUGGAAUUGAAGUGUUCAGAUAGUGUUACCUGGGGAGGGCAAAAAGCGGGCAAGUUCAUAUCAGGGCCGAGUCGAGAAGUCAUUUCCUGCAAAUGGAUGAAACGUUAGAAUCGCAACAUUAUACUUUGAAUUCAAUAACACGUGAUGAGAUAGAUGAAUUACCUGAAAAUAAGAAGCCAUAUACUGCGUCAGCUGUCCGACCUGCUCCUGCGCUGCUCGAGCUUGCUGCUGUGCUGCUCGAGCCUGCUCCUGUGCUGCUCGAGUCUCCUCCUCCACCUAAGCCUCUCGAGCAGACCUAGAGGAGCGAGAACUCCCUUGACCUAUUGUCCUGUUAUACUCCACAACGCCGGUGCCAAAGGCAAACCUGCAUGAUACACAUAGUUGAGCCAUUAAGUGGACAUAUUCUUGUUAAUGAAAUUGUCGAAUCAAACACAAACACCUCACCUGCCAUGCUUUCUACCCCCACCACUGUGGUACAACGCCGAGGCAUCUAAGUCCGAAUGCAUCCAGUCGAAGUCAGGCCCAUGGCGUUGAAUCAUUUCCUCCCCAUAUGCAUUCUGCAAAGAAAGUUAGAGUUGGAGUUAGACACAAAACAUGCAAUUUAAUUCAUAAAUACAAACUUGUUUACCAUUUUCUCCCUUGCCGCCUCGCUGCAUAGCACAUCAGGGUUCACCGGAUCAGGGCCACGGUGACCACGAACGUAAACCUCCAUAAAACUUGGAGCAACUACACUUUCAGCUUCCUGCAUGAAAAAGAAGAGUUAAACCAUAGAAUUUUCAUAGAUGUAACAUACAAGUUUGAUUUACAUACUUACCAUGCGGCGUGCGGUACCAAGGUGUCCAUCGGCGCCGUACCUGUGCCCCAGUCCUUCAGUGCCACGGUUGGCACGGUGCUUCUGGGACUCUGCAAUCCACUUAGGCGACGCCCAUCUCUUAGCCAACCACCUCCAGGCUUCCAUGUCCUUCGCAAGCCAAUCCACAACGCUCUCCAGGUACUACUCCUCUGUGAGGUAGAUCUCAUUGGCCCCUUUUAUCGAUGUUUCAGACUAUUCAGGACAGACAGGAUACUCUACAGCAGCAGCUUCUGGCAGACCGCCAAGUAAGAAGUGUAGAACAAUUAGCUCAUAAGGACCGCCAUUGUAUAACCAUUCAUCAACAGAUGCAGCUUCCCAAAUUGGGUAAAAAUGCAAUCCGAUCGCCGCAGAAGUAGGAAUAAUAGCACCAGAGAUAAUAUUGUUUCCAUAAAGUAAAGAACCAGAAACAGGCUCACGAAUACCAUCAAUAUCUACUGGAGGAGCAGCGAUGAAGGCGAUAAUAUAUACGGAAGUUGUGGUCAAUAAGGUAGGGAUCAUCAAAACACCAAACCAUCCAAUGUAAAGACGGUUUUCGGUGCUAGUUAUCUAGUUGCAGAAGCGACCCCACAGGCUUGUACUUUCGCGUCUCUCUAAAAUUGCAGUCAUGGUAAG
rnacentral:lncRNA from 1 species